AACAAACCCUGCAACUCUUGCCAAACAGCCUGGCCUUAUCUCCUUCUUCAAGAGUUCAUUCACAGUUCCAGCCACAGCCACAGCUGAGAGUUUGGAGUCAGGACCACACGAGGCUCUGCACUUUGGGUCAGCUUGGAGCUUUCCUGGUGUCCCCGGGACAUCCCUGGCAGUUAUCCCAACACACACCCCCCUGGAGAUGUGAUCGUGGUCCAGCCCAGAGAAUUCCAGGUUAAGAAGCCGAGGGAUCAGUGUUUGCAGGAGCCACUUUGGAGCUGGAUGUGCCCUGAGCAGCGUGUGACCCCAGCCAGGCAAGGAAGGGGAGAUACAUCUCUAAUUCCAACCUGCGUCCAGAAGGAAAAGGAGAGGAACUGACACACAAGACCUUUCCAAACAGGACAGGGAGAUGUCUUCAUCAGUGCAGCUCUUCCAAGAUCAGAAGUACCACGAGCUGAAGGGGCAGUGCCUCCAGCAGGGCCAGCUCUUUGAGGAUCCCGAGUUUCCAGCCUCAGAUGAAUCCCUUUACUACGACCCAGCAGCAAAAGGGAAAGUGGAAUGGAAGAGGCCAAAGGACCUCUGUGAAGAUCCCCACCUGCUUGUGGAUGGAAUGAGCUCCCAUGACUUCCACCAGGGCAAGCUGGGCAACUGCUGGUUUGUGGCUGCCUGCUCCUGCCUGGCUCUGAGGAAAAGCCUCUGGCAGCAGGUGAUUCCCAGCUAUCAGGAGCAGGAAUGGGACCCUCAAAGCCCCAGGAAAUACGCUGGGAUUUUCCGUUUCCGUUUCUGGCGCUUUGGAGAGUGGACAGAGGUGGUGGUUGAUGAUCUGCUGCCAACAGAGAAUGGGGAGCUGAUCUACUGCCAUUCCAACGUGAGGAAUGAGUUCUGGAGUGCUUUGCUGGAGAAAGCUUAUGCUAAGCUGGCUGGAUCCUACCAAGCUCUGGAUGGAGGCUGUGCUGCAGAAGCCCUGGUGGAUUUCACUGGAGCAGUGGCAGACUCCAUUAAUCUGGCAGAGGGCAAAUAUGGUGAGGUUAUUUCUGAGCAGAUGAAGCUGUUUGAAGACUUGAUGAAAGUGCAUAAAAGAGGAGGGUUCAUCAGCUGCUCCAUUUCGGAGUCCCUUGGCCGCCCCAGCGAGGCAGAGACAGAGAUGGGGCUCAUUGUGGGCCAUGCCUACUCCGUGACUGCCAUCAGGAAACUGCGCCUCGGGGAGAGGCUCCUCUUCUCCUUCCAGGCACAAAAGCUCUUCAUGAUCAGGCUGAGGAAUCCCUGGGGGAAAAAAGAAUGGCACGGUGCUUGGAGUGACAGUUCUGAAGAGUGGAAGAAAGUCAGCGAUUCUGAGCGCAAGGAUUUGGGGCUCACUGUUGAGAAUGAUGGAGAGUUCUGGAUGACGUUUGAGGACUGGUGUAAGAACUUCACAGAUGUGGACAUCUGCAGGACUGUGAACACCUCCUUCUUCAGCCUCCACAAGACCUGGGAGAAGGAAAUGAUGUAUGGGGCUUGGGCAAAGCAUCCAGAGCCCCUGCUGAACAGAUCUGGGGGCUGCUUUGAUAACAGAGAGACCUUCCUGCAGAACCCCCAGUACCUCUUUGAUGUUAAGAAGGCCGAGGACAAAGUGUUGGUGUCACUUCAGCAGGAGGAUCGGCGCAGGUACAAGAAAGAAGGGAAAGGAGACAACAUCACAAUUGGCUUUGAAAUCCUCAAGGUGGAGGACAACAGGAGGUACAGGCUGCACAAGCUCACAGUGCAGGAGAGAGUGGCCACGUCUCCCUACUCCAACACACGCAGCGUGUUCCUGAGGAGGAGCCUCCAGCGCGGCCGCUACGUCCUCAUCCCAACCACCUACACCCCUGGGGUCCCCACCAAAUUCAUCCUCAGGCUCUACACAGAUGUGCCCUCAAAGCUCAGGGAGCUGAAGGCAGAUAGGCCUGAAAUGACGUGUUGGAGUCUUCUUUGUGGCUACCCACGCAGAGUCACCCAAAUCAAAGUCCACUCUGCAGAGGGUUUGCAGAAACAAGACAGAUCAGGAGGAGCAGAUCCCUACGUGCUCAUCAAGUGUGAGGGGCAGAGCCGGCGCUCGGCGGUGCAGCACGGCACCACCAGCCCCGUGUUCAACACCCAGGUGAUCUUCUACAGGAAGGACGUGGACAGUCCUGUCACCAUCCAGGUGUGGAACAGCAGGCUCCUGAGUGACCGGUUCCUGGGGCAGGCGGUGCUGGCAGCGUCCCCCGGGGAGCCCUGCGAGCAGCAGAGGCUGCGGCUGCGGGCCAGGGGCGGCGGGGAGGCAGCGGAGCUGCCGGGUCACAUCAGCGUCACGGUUCUCUCCAGCGAUGACCUCGCCGAGCUCUGAGCCCCGCAGAGCCGCACGGAGCUGUCACCUCGGGAGCACGGGGUGCGCAUCAGCGUAAUCGCUUCAAAGGGGGGGAAAAAAAAAAAAAGCACUCCGACUCUCCACAUUAUCGCUGGGAGAGGGGGAACGCAUAUUUAUACAUAGCUAUGCUCGUGAUACAGCUCAUGCGGUGGGAGAGGGGACAAAUGGAAUGCUGGCAGGUAAGUGCAGGAGGAUGUGAGCGUCUUCCCGGCAGCAUCGUUGAGGAUGCAGCUCCAUCGGGCACCCGCCAGCAGCUUGGGGACUGCAAGUACAAGGGGGAUUCGUGGGGAUUUUGUUUCCUCCCCCCCAUAGAAGGAUAUAAAUUUCUUGAUGAAUUUCACUACAGAUUAGGUAUUUCUGCUCCUUGUUGAAAAUGUCACUACUCGAGGAGCUCAGUUGUAGCUCAUGACCUUAAGACUUGCCAGGACAACAGAGGGGGUAGAUCUUGCAGUGCCUGUUUGAACACCACAGCAAAUAAGAGCUUUGUGCACCCCAAGGCUCUCAGAUUGAAUUCUUGAUUCUUCUCUUCUCCACCUCGAGCUGGUGACUCACAGUUUGGUAUCUCUGUCCAAGGGCACCUUACAGUUCAGCUGUGGCUCUGUUCAGAGCACAGAUUCAGUAAUAGGAGCCUCCUUGCUUUGUUUAAGCCACAUAAUGCUAAAAAUGGAAUAACAGCCCUCUUGUUUAGGUACGUGUAGCACCAGCCUGAAAGAGAAGAAAACGAGCUCGUGAGAAGGGUGGGUUUGUAAAAGCUGGGUGCUGUUCCCUGCCAGGUGUCAGGUCUCACUCUCAAAAUUUUGCAGUCAUUAAUUGCUGGCACGGCUGAUGUUUGAUGGUUUCACUUGGGUACCACGGAGGAAGGGUGUUAUUUACAUUUCCCUCACAGGAGGGGUCUGGUGCCAGCUCUCCCCUUGCCCUGCAGCCCAUGGCAGGGUUCCCUCAGCAGCUCUCUGGGGUGGGCACACUGGGCAGUGACCCUGGCAGUGCACGGGGCUCUCUGUGCCACACACUCUGAAAUGGAUUUUACACAGCUGCACAUUCUGGGUGGUAAAGUGAAGCUGAAGGACUGUUCUGCCUUUUUUACAGCCAGGAAGUUCCUAUGUGCCUCGUAGCCACUUCAGACACACUGUGCAAUUUUUACAAUUUAUGAAAUGGCCCUUGACAGAGUUAAUGCCUUCACAAAAGAUUUUGAAGUCUCCUCAGGGCUUCACAAGGAUCAUUGCUGUGGUAGGAAAAUGCCAGAGAUGGACUGUGGGGCUGUGAAUGAUGCUGCAGUGCCAUCAUGUACCAAGGACCUAAAUCCAGCUCUUUUCAGACAGUUUGGGCUCAGGCUGUUUUGCACAGCAGAGUUCUUGUCAGAGGUGUGAACUACAAGCCCCACAGCCAAGUGACAUUCUCUGUAAGCUCAUGGCUCCAGGGCUGCUUACUCUCAGAAACGUUUGUAAACUGAGAUUUAUCUUUUUAAAAGCAUGAACUGUCUCAUGCAGACCAGAGCUGGAUGAGGGGAACUGCAAAUGUCAGGGCUGCCCCAGUCGUGCACUGAGACGUGUUUGCUUUGCUUUUCCUCACACACUGCUCCAGGCUGUGCUUCCCACAGUGUUCCCUGUGGGAUGGGGGCCAUUCCCAGGGCUUGGCUUGGCCAAGGGUCAGUGUUCAGCCUGAAAAAAGUUCCACUCCGAGAGGGCACCAGGGGUUUGUGCCUGCCUGCCCCACGGUUUGGCUGAGGAAGCUCCUGAGCCUGCUGAGGGCACAAAGCCACCUCAGCCCCGAGCUGGAGGGGUGUCCCUUGGCUCUUUUUUGGAGCCCCACAGCCAUGGCCCCCAGUCCCAGCACACCACCCUGUUCCAGCCUCUGCAAAGGCUUGUCCCCAGCAGCAGUGGCACAGAGCAGUGGGACCAGCAGUUCUUGGGCAUGCACAGGCUGGCAAAGUGGGAAGUCAGCGUGGGCAGCAUGGACAUUUCAGGCCUCGAGCAUUGUGCCAGCUCCAGCCAUCCCCCCAGUUUGUCCCCGUGGCAUGGGGACAGGCACUGCUGGCCAGUGCUGCCCUGAGGGACUGGCAGUGCUGGGAGCUGCAGGAGGCUCAGCAGGAUGCCUGGACCUCUGCACUGUUAAUUUUUGGGAACUGUUUGGGUUUUCCAUCAGGAGGAGCUGAUCCAGCCUGGGACACAGCUGGCUCUGCUGGUUUACAGAUGCCUCUGCUUCCAGGUGAAGCCCAGGAGAAGCAAGGCAAGGGCAGGGCUGACACGGUCCCCUGCUGCUGUCUGCUCCUAACACUGAUAGUUAAAAUGGUUAUAAAUAUCAGCAUGUGGGAAAAAAACAUCUUGGGGUUGUUUUUUUGAUAAGGGGAAGGGCUGCAUUUAUGUACAAAAAUGAAAACACGUGGAAAUGGGUAUAAAAUAUUUCAUUGCAACCUUUUGUAACUUUUCAAUACGA